rnacentral:tRNA from 1 species
GGUUGUGGCCCAAUGAUAGAGCACUUGCCUGGCAAGUACGAGGCACUAGGUUCAAAUCUCAGCACCA